rnacentral:lncRNA from 1 species
CACAGUGCUGCCGGAGGAGAUGGGAGCUACACGGUGUACUGAACACCUGCUGCAGAGCAGCCACAUCAUGCCCACACCUGCCAGGACAGCUGGCACCCCGCGUGAGGACAGAGACACAGCCUGCUGUGACGAGCUACCUCUGUUCAUUUGAGCCUGAGAGAAAUUUGGUGUACUGGGGAAAAAACUCCACAAGAUUGUAAGCACAACUGCCAUGCAGAUAGAUGGGACAUAGCUGGGCAGAUAUUAAAAGUGGUCAUCUUGAGACAGUGACGCAUAUUAUUUCUAUUUUCUGGAUUUUUCAUAUUUUCAAUAAUACAACAAACAGGCUUCCCAGACACAUGGAUGAGCAUCCUAGGGAAGAAGCAGAGUGAGCCUCUGGGGAGUCAGUGCAUGGACAUCUCUAGAAGUUUCUAUGGGGAAGAAACCUUGGCAAAGACUUUGGAAUCACAUCACUUGAAUAUAUUCAAGGACCUUCCUGUUUUCUUCAGGGUCAUAAAACUCUCCUUAAAAAGGGAUUUAUGCUUUUUAUGUCUUUUCCACAAACCAUGCUUGGAUGGAUACUUUAAAAAGAUUUCAACAGUUGAAAAGUACACAGAGCGGAACGGGAAAGAAGCAUUUGCCAUCCUCGCCUGUGAUGAUGUCAGCAUAAUGCUGGGGUGUCUGAGGAGUAUUGGUAAAGAAAUUGUUAAAGAAAUAAAAGCUUCUGAAGCUGUUAAUUAGACUUAUUCUCUCAUUUCUUCACUGAUUUCUUUAUUUAUUUUUAUUCAAGGUCAUGCUCAAAGUCCUAGCCUACUUGGCUGCUAAUUUUAGUCUUCUAUUUUAUUGUAGCAAGAAUAUUUAAUAAGAAAGCUACCCUCAUAAAUUUUUCAAUGUAAAAUACAGUAUUGUUGGCUAUAGAAACAGUGUUGUGCAGUGGCUCCCUCUAAGGAUACAUCUUGCAUGCUUGAGAUUUUAUUCCCAUUGAUUAGCAAGUCCCCAUUUCUGCCUCCCCCCAGCCCCAG